rnacentral:rRNA from 1 species
UACGUAGGGGGCAAGCGUUGUCCGGAUUUAUUGGGCGUAAAGAGCGUGUAGGCGGCCAUACAGGUCAGCUGUGAAAACUCGAGGCUCAACCUCGAGACGUCGGUUGGAAACCGUAUGGCUAGAGUCCGGAAGAGGAGAGUGGAAUUCCCGGUGUAGCGGUGAAAUGCGUAGAUAUCAGGAGGAACACCUGUGGCGAAAGCGGCUCACUGGACCAUAACUGACGCUGAUGCACGAAAGCUAGGGGAGCAAACAGG